UGCCAAAGGAGAGUUGGCCUU
rnacentral:miRNA from 1 species